rnacentral:tRNA from 1 species
GGAUCAGCUCAUUCAGUUGAGCAUGGCACUAACAACGCCAAGGUCACAGGUUCGAUUCCCGUUGGGUCCC